ensembl:miRNA MIR4789 microRNA 4789
CAUGCUACGUAUGUAUACACCUGAUAUGUGUAUGUGUAAAUACAUAUCCACACACAUAGCAGGUGUAUAUAUAGGUAGCCUG